AGGACGAACGCUGGCGGCGUGCUUAACACAUGCAAGUCGAACGGUUUAUAAGGGCUUGCCCUUAUAGAUAGUGGCGAACGGGUGCGUAACACGUGAGCAACCUGCCCCAAAGUUUGGAAUAACACCGGGAAACCGAUGCUAAUACCAAAUAUGCUCACACUAUCACAAGAUAGAGUGAGGAAAGUUUUUCGCUUUGGGAGGGGCUCGCGGCCCAUUAAUGGCGCACCAAGGCGACGAUGGGUAGCCGGCCUGAGAGGGUGAACGGCCACACUGGGACUGAGACACGGCCCAGACUCCUACGGGAGGCAGC
rnacentral:rRNA from 1 species